UCAAUAGAACUGUUGCUUCAAGUCAUUGAAAUGAUGGAAGAGGCGCAUUUCAAAGUAUCGGGAGUGAGCUUGGAAGACCGGAAGUAUGAGGGCUAAUAUUGGGUGUUAUGAUUAUUGGACUUCAGAAUUGUAUAAUAAAAAACUCUAACAUUUGACUAAUCAAAAAUUAACUCCUUAAGGAAAAUUUUAGUAUCUCUGAUUUAACCCUUUAAGGCCCAGAACUUUUUAUACAGUUUUUAUUACCUAAAAAGUAGUUAACAUUGAAAAAACGGAUUUUUGGAAUGGUGUAACCAAACAUAUUCCAAUCUGAUCCUGCUAACAACCCAGCGUCUCCGUGUUGUUCCACGCAGCUUGUUGAACGGAAGCUGUAACGACCGCAAAAACACCUGCUCCAGCAGUUCGUAAACCGACGUUGUCCCGUACUCCGGUGGCCAUCAAUCCAUGGGACAUAAACGGUGGCGCCGCACCCCGCCGUAUCUGCGGCUAGUCGAGGAGCAAUAGUCCUUCUUGAUCAAGAUGCUGCCCCGCACGCUGGCGUCGGCUCGAAAAGAUGGCUGACAAAAUCCGGACCCGGAAGACAACGCCAAAAAAUUCCGGCCAAGAUGCCGAGCGACAAGGAGAACUGGAAGACCAACCGGAAGACGACACCAAGAUGUACGUGAAGAUCCGCGACACAACAAGUAUAAUGAAAUAAUUGAUUUUUUUACUGUGGGGAA
rnacentral:misc_RNA from 1 species